rnacentral:rRNA from 1 species
UACAGAGGGGGCAAGCGUUGUUCGGAAUUACUGGGCGUAAAGGGCGCGUAGGCGGCCUUCUAAGUCGAACGUGAAAUCCCCGGGCUCAACCCGGGAACUGCGUCCGAUACUGGAAGGCUUGAAUCCGGGAGAGGGAUGCGGAAUUCCAGGUGUAGCGGUGAAAUGCGUAGAUAUCAGGAGGAACACCGGUGGCGAAGGCGGUUCUCUGGGCAUGUCCUGACGCUGAGGAGCGAAAGUGUGGGGAGCGAACAGG